CGUAGGGUCCGAGCGUUGUCCGGAAUUAUUGGGCGUAAAGGGCUCGUAGGCGGUUUGUCGCGUCGGGAGUGAAAACUCAGGGCUCAACCCUGAACGUGCUUCCGAUACGGGCAGACUAGAGGUAUGCAGGGGAGAACGGAAUUCCUGGUGUAGCGGUGGAAUGCGCAGAUAUCAGGAGGAACACCGGUGGCGAAGGCGGUUCUCUGGGCAUUACCUGACGCUGAGGAGCGAAAGCAUGGGGGAGCGAACAGGAUUAGAUACCCUGGUAGUCCAUGCCGUAAACGUUGGGCGCUAGGUGUGGGGUCCUUCCACGGAUUCCGUGCCGCAGCUAACGCAUUAAGCGCCCCGCCUGGGGAGUACGGCCGCAAGGCUA
rnacentral:rRNA from 1 species